UACAGAGGUCUCAAGCGUUGUUCGGAUUCAUUGGGCGUAAAGGGUGCGUAGGUGGCGCGCUAAGUCAGGUGUGAAAUUUCGGAGCUUAACUCCGAAACUGCAUUUGAUACUGGCGUGCUUGAGGACUGGAGAGGAGACUGGAAUUCACGGUGUAGCAGUGAAAUGCGUAGAGAUCGUGAGGAAGACCAGUGGCGAAGGCGGGUCUCUGGACAGUUACUGACGCUGAGGCACGAAGGCCAGGGGAGCAAACGGG
rnacentral:rRNA from 1 species